UGUGGCUCAGUGGUAGAGCACACGCCUAGAACGUGCGAGGCCCUGGGUUCGAUCCUCAGCA
rnacentral:tRNA from 1 species